rnacentral:rRNA from 1 species
GACGAACGCUGGCGGCGUGCUUAACACAUGCAAGUCGAACGGAAAGGCCCUGCUUUUGUGGGGUGCUCGAGUGGCGAACGGGUGAGUAACACGUGAGUAACCUGCCCUUGACUUUGGGAUAACUUCAGGAAACUGGGGCUAAUACCGGAUAGGAGCUCCUGCUGCAUGGUGGGGGUUGGAAAGUUUCGGCGGUUGGGGAUGGACUCGCGGCUUAUCAGCUUGUUGGUGGGGUAGUGGCUUACCAAGGCUUUGACGGGUAGCCGGCCUGAGAGGGUGACCGGCCACAUUGGGACUGAGAUACGGCCCAGACUCCUACGGGAGGCAGCAGUGGGGAAUAUUGCACAAUGGGCGGAAGCAUGAAGCAGCAACGCCGCGUGCGGGAUGACGGCCUUCGGGUUGUAAACCGCUUUCGCCUGUGACGAAGCGUGAGUGACGGUAAUGGGUAAAGAAGCACCGGCUAACUACGU